rnacentral:rRNA from 1 species
UACGAAGGGGACUAGCGUUGUUCGGAAUUACUGGGCGUAAAGCGCACGUAGGCGGAUUUGUAAGUCAGGGGUGAAAUCCCGGGGCUCAACCUGGGAACUGCAUUCGAGACUGCAUUGCUAGAGUAUGGGAGAGGGAAGUGGAAUUUCCGGUGUAGCGGUGAAAUGCGUAGAUAUCGGAAGGAACGUCAGUGGCGAAAGCGACUUCCUGGACCAAUACUGACGCUCAUGUGCGAAAGCGUGGGGAGCAAACAGG